AUUGUAUCCUGCAUCCGCUUCAUCUGUCUCUGACGGAGUUCCUUCAUCGUGGCCUCCAGCUGCUGGCUGUAGUCCUCGUUGAGGCUCAUGAGAUGCUCCACAAAGCUGCAACACGGAGAAGAACGUCCGGAUAUAGUAUGGAAAUAUGGAUUUUCUGUUGCUUUUCCUUAAAAUAAAUAAUCAAAUUGUG